rfam:Capsicum annuum cultivar Zunla-1 chromosome 6, whole genome shotgun sequence
UGAUGAUGGUGAGGGCAAUUUAUGACCAUACACUUAAAUCUCUCCCUAGCUUGGUAAAGAUCUCUCCUUCUUUCUAUAUGAAACAUAAGAUCUCGCUUCUCAAGCA